rnacentral:lncRNA from 1 species
UGGAAUUUAAGUCUCCCGAGGCAAGAAAUUGAGUAGAAGAACUUCGAAGAGGGGAAAGGGACUUCCAUUUAUGUGUUCCAUUUUUCCUACUGACAAAAAUUGAAACCCUUUUCUUGGUAGCUGGUUUCUUUUAUUCUAUAAAGGCCCUUGUUCUGUAAUUCAUUCUGAUUGAUUUUCACCCUUGAAUGUAGAGAAAUCUCUUUCUUUUUUCUCUUCACACUCAAGAAUAUCACCUUCGAAAGAUUUUUCAUGGAUUUUGUAACGAGGAUUCACAACUACAGCAAGAAGCAAUGCAGAAGCCUAUUCAAGAAAGUGGGGGCAGUGAUGAAGAAGACAGUUAAGAAGGGACACAAACACCAAUUUAUUUUCCAGUAUGAUCCUUCAAGUUAUGCCCUCAACUUUGAUGAUGGCAUUCAAGAAUUGGGCGAAACAUCAACCGUUUCUUACUCAAAAAAUACAGUUAUUUGGAUUUAUGUUAUUUGGCCUGAAGUGUAGCUUUCGUUUUUCUGUAGUCGAUCUCAAGAACGAGUAAAGAAAAAGAGUAGCGGUAAGGGGAUGGUACCUUUUGUUCUUCAAUUGAAGUUCUUGUUUUGAGUUCAAAUAAUAUUUUUCGAUAUUAUGUUCAGUGUUCUGAUCAUAAACAAGAAUACCUGCAUUAUACUUGUCAUCAUCUCCUUUUCUCCUACUGUGUUGUCCA